rnacentral:rRNA from 1 species
AGUGAACGCUGGCGGCGUGCCUAAUACAUGCAAGUCGAACGGAGAUUCAGUAGCUUGCUAUUUACUCUUAGUGGCGCACGGGUGAGUAAUAUAUAGCUAACUUGCCCAUUACUAAGGGACAACAGUUGGAAACGACUGCUAAUACCUUAUACUCCGUAUCUAUAUAAGUAGAUACGGGAAAGUUUUUCGGUAAUGGAUAGGGCUAUAUCGUAUCAGCUAGUUGGUAAGGUAAUGGCUUACCAAGGCUAUGACGCGUAACUGGUCUGAGAGGAUGAUCAGUCACACUGGAACUGAGACACGGUCCAGACUCCUACGGGAGGCAGCAGUAGGGAAUAUUGCUCAAUGGGGGAAACCCUGAAGCAGCAACGCCGCGUGGAGGAUGACACUUUUCGGAGCGUAAACUCCUUUUCUUGGGAAAGAAUUAUGACGGUACCCAAGGAAUAAGCACCGGCUAACUCCGUG